rnacentral:rRNA from 1 species
GACGAACGCUGGCGGCGUGCUUAACACAUGCAAGUCGAACGGAAAGGCCCUGCUUUUGUGGGGUGCUCGAGUGGCGAACGGGUGAGUAACACGUGAGUAACCUGCCCUUGACUUUGGGAUAACUUCAGGAAACUGGGGCUAAUACCGGAUAGGAGCUCCUGCUGCAUGGUGGGGGUUGGAAAGUUUCGGCGGUUGGGGAUGGACUCGCGGCUUAUCAGCUUGUUGGUGGGGUAGUGGCUUACCAAGGCUUUGACGGGUGGCCGGCCUGAGAGGGUGACCGGCCACAUUGGGACUGAGAUACGGCCCAGACUCCUACGGGAGGCAGCAGUGGGGAAUAUUGCACGAUGGGCGGAAGCCUGAUGCAGCAACGCCGCGUGCGGGAUGACGGCCUUCGGGUUGUAAACCGCUUUCGCCUGUGACGAAGCGUGAGUGACGGUAAUGGGUAAAGAAGCACCGGCUAACUACGUG